UACGUAGGGGGCAAGCGUUGUCCGGAUUUACUGGGCGUAAAGCGCGCGUAGGCGGAACUUCAAGUCCGGUCUGAAAGCCCCCGGCUCAACCGGGGAGGGUGGCUGGAAACUGGGGUUCUUGAGGGCGAGAGAGGAGGGUGGAAUUCCUGGUGUAGCGGUGAAAUGCGUAGAGAUCAGGAGGAACACCCGGGGCGAAGGCGGCCCUCUGGCUCGACCCUGACGCUGAGGCGCGAAAGCUAGGGGAGCAAACGGG
rnacentral:rRNA from 1 species